UAAAGCACACAGGAGUUCGUCUUCGUGCUUUCUUAAAGCAAGGGCAUUUCUAUCUUUUCAGUGAUUCUUUUGUCUAUUAUUUUACUUGAUGUUUCAAUUAGUUUUUCCAAUGUUUUGACCACUUCACGCCUCUCUCCAUUAAACCCUCCGUAACCGCCUCACACCGCUUCCACAAGAAAUUAUGAUCCAAAAUCAGCGCAUGAAACUCAUUAAAAAAACAAAUUUCUGAAGUAGCGUAUGACGUAUAAGUGCAGAUCUCAGCUGAAUUUGGGAGUUUUCCCCUCUUCCUUGGCUACAGAGAUUUGCAUGUUUUCUUGGGUUCGUUUGAAAAGACGUCUCCUUAUUGGCAUAUCUUCACUUUCAAAUCAACCUUUUGUAGAAACGUAUGAUAAGGCUAAAGGAGUUUGUAGUGGGAUAAUAGGAUAUAGAAUCAGCCGGCUUUGUUGGGAAGCUCUUUAUCCCCUCAAUCAAUAACUAUGUCUUUGAAUAAAAAGAUCACCAGUCUAGCUACUUGCUCACCGAAAAAACGCUGUCAAUACACGACAGAUAAAGCUUCUGCUAUCAACAACAGGUGACGUGGCCUAUAUAGGCAACUGGCAUCUGAUAAAAAAGAAGCGCUUCUCCUGUAACGGCGUAUAAGAUAUAAAGAAUCAAACACUCAAAACCUUCUGAGUAGUGCUCCUGCUCCAUUAGCUGCUGCUGGACCCCAAUUUAGUGCGCAAAGAGGCAUUACAAUCAUAGAGAUAUCACCGCACUGUGAAAUAGGCAAUGCACUUUGCAACAACUGUUACACGAUUGAAUCAAAUAAAGGGAAGGAUAUAAUUGGUUUCUUCUCUACUUUUGAAGUCGGCUCAACAUCAGCUCUACCCACUGAACAGCAUAACCCAAGCACAACAGCUACCGGCGCUACAGGCUUGGCAACACUUGCACAUCAAUGGCAUACUCGAAAGACAAUAUCUCCUAAAACCAAAGGUUGUUGUUAUAAGAAUGUCACUUCAUUGUUAAGGUUGUGCUAGUAAAGUGAAGAAACAUCUCUCCAAAGCUGGAAGUUUAUGCUGUUUUUAGUUUGGCCUACAAGCACUAGCCAGCUAUAAUAUUCAUUGACGAAGUUGACAGUUUUUUGGGCCAGCAUCGUGCAACAGAGGCUCAAAUGCUGACUGGGACUUGUUUUCCAAAAUGCACAGUUUCUACUUGUGUUGAAGCUUCGGGUACUUUUCAUGGCUCUAUUGACAUCCAAGCUACACUGAGACUUGUUCUGAAUAGCUACAAUUAUCUAAUAAUCUUAUUUUGUUGAAUUAUAGUGUUAUUACAAAGUUAUAAAUGCAAGAUCCAUGUAUGAUUGCUUUAAUGCCUUCGAAUAACUCAAUCGUGUUUACUAAUGCGAUUGAAGUUGAUUGAAGUUGUAUCUACAUCUCCACCAGCCCUUUUAAUGGCC